rnacentral:tRNA from 1 species
GCCAACGUAGCUCAGCUGGCAGAGCAUCGCAUUCGUAAUGCGACGGUCAUCAGUUCGAAUCUGAUCGUUGGCUCCA